GACGCACCACUGGUGUUCCGGUUGUGUCGCCAGACGCAUUGCCGGGUAGCUAAGUGCGGAAGAGAUAAGUGCUGAAAGCAUCUAAGCACGAAACUUGCCAAGAGAUGAGUUCUCCCAGAUUUAAAAUCUGUAAGGGUUGUUUAAGACUAAGACGUAGAUAGGCAUGGUGUGUAAGCGGUGCGAGCCGUUGAGCUAACAUGUACUAAUUGCCCGAGAGGCUUAACUAU
rnacentral:rRNA from 1 species